rnacentral:rRNA from 1 species
ACGGAUCUCUUGGUUCUGGCAUCGAUGAAGAACGCAGCAAAAUGCGAUAAGUAAUGUGAAUUGCAGAAUUCAGUGAAUCAUCGAAUCUUUGAACGCACAUUGCG